GUGAAUCAUCGAAUCUUUGAACGCACAUUGCGCCCACCAGUAUUCUGGUGGGCAUGCCUGUCUGAGCGUCAUUUCAACCCUCACACUCCUAGGGUGUGGUGUUGGGGAUCGGCCAAAGCCCGCAAGGGACGGCCGGCCCCUAAAUCUAGUGGCGGACCCGUUGUGGCCUCCUCUGCGAAGUAGUAAUAUUCCGCAUUAGAGAAGCAGCGAGCCCCUGCCGUAAAACCCCCAACUUUCUAAGGUUGACCUCAGAUCAGGUAGGAAUACCCGCUGAACUUAAGCAUAUCAAUAAGCGGAGGA
rnacentral:misc_RNA from 1 species